GUUCAAGGUUCUCCUGUACACAAAAAGAAAACAGUGUGAAACAUAAUUGCAUUUGAGCUUGUUGUUGUUUAGUCGUGUCUGACUCUUCGUGACCCCAUGGACCAGAGCACGCCAGGCACUCCUGCCUUCCCUGCCUGGACCCAAGAUGCUUUUCAGUGGUAGGUGGUAGUGCCAGUUUAGAACAGGAACCAAGCUCAGGUGGUCCUAUCAACAUGGACCAAACACCAUUUUAAAUUACCUAAAAUUCAAUGCCCUGAUUCCUAGAUCUAUUAAAUUCAUUGAUUCCAUAGAGCUAUAGUCCAGGUAGGGCUACAUCUAGACAUUUCAUAGGCCAGGGUAUUGCAUUUUGGGUGAAUUAAGAUGUUGUUUGCUACCACAGAUGAGAGCUGAACUUAGCUCCCAUUGAAAGUUCUGUCUCCCAUCUACCACUGAAGCAUGUCUAGGAGGCUGGUGGAGGUUGAAGGAUGUGGCAUCAGAGAAAGCUUGUGAUGGCCAAGGUGUUGACUUUUUGCAGUAUGGUAGCGCUGCAGAGAGCUUGCUGGGGAGACCAUGCAUUAAAAAGGGACUCAAAAAUAACUUAAACAAGGUUUUAAUAAGAAAAACAAAAACUCCUUUUACACUAAAUACAUUAACAAACAAACAUGACCCAACCACCAACCCCUCCCCCAGGGUAAUGGGAGAGCUAGGUGCUGCUCCUUAUAUACUACACCCAAUUGCCAACACAGCUUAAUCAGUAGAACUCGGCAGCACCUGCUAUGUUUCACAGCUGUAACGCUGGGUCUCGUUAUCUUGCUCUGGCCCUUGCUUUGGCCCCUUAAAGACAUACACAUCGGGUGGAACAAUGAUGAACCUUUACAUAUUAAACCAUUCAACAUUUCCCCUGCGGUUCAUCAUUGUGGAACAAAAACAUAAAGCAUACUUUGUACAUGUUUUUCAUGUAUACCUUUUGGAAGUGCUUUAGUAAAAAUGUCUGCAAUUUGAUUGUCACCUGGAACAUAUUUAAAUACAACCAUUUCAUCAGCAAUUAGUUUCUUUACAAACUGUAAACGUAAUCUUAAGACUUUAGUGCGCUGCGUAUUGGUUUCUGAACAUAGGAUAGCGAGUCCACUCUGGGAAUCAAGGUAAACUUUUACUGGUAGUGUUACUUGCAUCUGUAGGUCUGCGAAUACUUGCAGAUACCAUUCCACAUCACGAGUGGCCUGAACACAUGCACAUAAUUCACUCUCUGUUGUGGAGAGACAAAUAAUGGUUUGUGUCUGGGACUUCCAUUCAAAUGGACAACCAUUAUAACAAAACACCAUACCAGACACACCCCUGCAAUUAUUUUGUUCCACUGCAUGAGAUGCAUCACAGAAAAUUUCAAAACCUUUGUCAAUACAGUGGUGCCUCGCAAGACGAAAUUAAUUCGUUCCGCAAGUCUCUUCGUCUUGCGAGUUUUUCGUCUUGCGAUGCACGGUUUCCCAUAGGAAUGCAUUGAAAAUCAAUUAAUGCGUUCCUAGGGAAACCGCCUUCAGACCAGGUCCGGGGACAGUCUGUCCCCGGACCUCUUCUGAAGGCUGGGGGGGGCAAGGGCUUUUCUUCCCACCCCCAGCAUUGUAAAAACCCGGGACAGCGGAGGACUUCUCCGCUGUCCGGGCGAGCUUAAAAUGCUGGCGGGCGGCAUUUUAAAAUCACCCGGGACAGCGGAGGACUUCUCCGCUGUCCGGGGCAAUUUAAAGCCCCUGGGAAGGCAGGCAGGGGGACAAAGACUUUUGCCCCCGCCAGCCUUCAGAAGAGGUCCUGGACCUCUUCUGAAGGCGGGCGGGGCGAAGUCUUGCUCCCCCGCCUUCAAAAGCCCUCCGGGACAGGCAGGCAGGGGAGCAAAGACUUUCGCCCCCGCCCGCCUUCAGAAGGUCUUCCCUCCCCCGCCCGGCUCGGAGCACCGUUCCGAAGCCGGGCGGCGGCGGAGGUCUUCCCUCCCCCGCCCGGCCGGAGCACCGUUCCGAAGCCGGGCGGCGGCGGAGGUGUUCCCUCCCCCGCCCGGCCCGGGCACCGUUCCGAGGCCGGGCGGCGGCGGCAGGUGUUCCCUCCCCCGCCCGGCCCGGGCACCGUUCCGAAGCCGGGCGGCGGCGGCAGGUGUUCCCUCCCCCGCCCGGCUCGGAGGAGCCUUCCGAAGCCCGGCGGCGGCGGGAGGAGGUGUCCCCGCCCCGCCGCCAGGCUUCGGAGGAGGUCCGAGGACAGUGGGGAAGACGCGCUGCGCUUCCCCGCUGUCCCUGAGAUUUCCCUAUGGGCUGUCGUCUUGCGAAGCAAGCCCAUAGGAAAUUCGUUUCUGCGACGCCUCCAAAACGGAAAACCCUUUCGUCUAGCGGGUUUUCCGUUUUGGAGGCGCUUCGUCUUGCGGGGUACCACUGUACAUGUUGUAAACUGCAACCUAUAAUGUUUGGUAUGUUUAAGGUACAUUACCACUCUCUUAAGAGCAGAGAAACAUUGUGUAGUGGGCUUUUCCACAAAUUUUGCCAGAAGGUGAAAGGCAUAAGUUAGAUCUGGUCUUGAGAUUCUUUGAAUGAAAUUUAGCUUGCCUAUAGCAGAACGAUACAAAGUUUUGUUAGGAAAUGGCUUAUCUUCACCUGUAAAAGUGAAACCACACACCAUGGGCGUUUCCUUCCCAUUUGCAUUUUCUAAACAUAGCAUUUCAACAAGAUCGUCAAUUUUUGCAGUUUGAUGAACCAGAAAAGAUCCAUUUUUGCCUUUCUCAAUUUGCAUGGAUAAGUAAUUUUUAGCUAUGCCUAAUUCCACCACAUCAAAUUUCUUCUGUAACUGUGUUACUACCUGUUCAUAUUCCUGUUUAGUUUUUGUAGAAAUUAACACGUCAUCUACAUAGACACAUAUUUUUGCUACAGAGUUUGCCCUUUCCUUUAUAAACACACAAUUGUCUGCCUUUCCCUGUGAAAAACCAAUAUCCAGCAAUUCUUUUGCUAAAGUUUGAUGCCAAUUCCUUCCACUUUGGUGCAGACCAUAAAGGGAUUUAUUUAAUUUGCAUACCAAACCUUCAGCGGCGUCUAUGCCUUCAGGGACACGCAUAAAAAUUUGUUCUUUUAAAUCUGCAAACAAAUAUGCAGUUUUUAUAUCUAGGUGAUAAACAGAAUGUCCACGUUGUGAUGCAUCUUUUAACAAAAGCUUAACUGUUUCAUAUUUUACACUUGGUGAAUAACACAAAUCAUAAUCUUCGCCUGGAAUUUGUUGAAAACCCCUAGCAACUAAUCUUGCCUUGUACCUUACAACUUCAUUUUUGUCAUUCAUUUUAACUCUAUAAACCCAUUUUGAAUCAAUAAGUCUCAUAUCUGGGGUUUGUGGUACAAGAGACCAAGUGUUAUGCUCUUUUAAAGAAGCUAUUUCAGAGUUCAUAGCUUUAUACCAAUUUACAGCUUGGUGCUUAGGUAAAUUCUGAACAUCAUUGUAGCUUUUGGCUCAAAAACUGCCUUAUUGGCAUACACAGUAUUAAAAUGUUCAUCUGCAAAACGUUGUGGCUUCUGUCUCUUUCUAUCUGAACGUCUCAGUCCGGAAGGAGAGUCAGACUCCUCAGACUUAAUGGGACUAUGUAAACUACUAGUUUCAGGUUGUAAAUCAUCAUUGUCAGACUGAAGAGAUGCCUGUUGGCUAAGCUCACGGUCAGAAAACUCAAGAGAAUCUAACCUCCCUCGGGUGCCUGUGACUUUAAAUCAUCAAAGAAAUUAUCAGAUUCAACAGGCUUUUUGUCUUCUUCCAUUAAUUCAGAAGCACCAUUUCCUGCUGCUGCUGCUUCUUCUACCUCUUCUUCCUCAGUAUUAUCUAUACCAUUACUAUCUUGGAAAACAGCAACACCAUUCCAAUUUACAGUUUGUAUCAUGCUUCUGGUAAUAUGAAAUUUGCCAGUUGCUGGUAUGUAAAUUCUGUACGCCCCCUGCUGGUAGCCCAUUAAUUUUCCCUGGACACUACGUUCACCCAAUUUCUGCUUAGCGGGAUAAUGCAUUAUUACAUCUGAACCCCAAAUGCGUAGGUAUUUCAGAUUAGGGCGUUUUUAAACAGCUUCUCAUAGGGGUGACAUCUAAACCAGAAUGAUAACUGCGAUUUCUAACAUAACAAAAGGCAUUGAGCGCUUCAGCCCAAAAGUCUUUGGGCAGAUUAGCAUCAUGCAGAUAAGUUUUAACCCCUGCCUGCAGGUCACGCUGCACAACUUCAACAAGCCCAUUUUGCCAGGGACUUCGGGGCAAGAUAACUCAUGAGUAGUCCCCUGCGCUUCCAGGAAUUUCUCAAAAUCCUCAGAAACAAAUUCCCGCCCCUGUCAGAAAAAAGGUUCUUAAUAGGUUUGUUAAAAUGUGUUUUUACCCAGUUGCAAAAAACUUUGUACUUCUCAAAUGCUUGGGACUUCUCAGCUAUUGCAUAAGUCCAACAAUAUCUACUAUACUGGUCUAUCAGGGUAAGCCAGUACUUAGAACCUCCUAAGGAUGGUGGGAGUGGCCCAACUAAAUCACAAUGUACACGCUCAAAUGGCUCAGUUACUUUCCUAUCUGAGCACCUACCCUUGCGUGCAACCUUAAUCUUAUUCUUGCAACAGGAUAGACAUUGCAUAAAGAAUUUACAUGGUUUUAAGUUGAGGCCAUUAACAAUAUUCUUGGUCUUAAUUACAUCAGCAAAAUUCAGAUGUCCCAGAAUUCUGUGCGCCUCAUGGACACACCCAGAAUGUGGCCUUACAUUCCUCAACCCCUGGCUUGACUGUGCUGCUCUGCAAUUUAUAGGCGAUUGGGAGUAGGUGCGAAAAUACAGUCUAUAUAAACCAUCAGAUUCCCGGGCAUACAAUAGACGUUUGUUCCCCUCGAAAAACUCACACAUUGACUUUAAGAAACGCACAGUUAUGCCUUGACGAGCAAAACACCUUACUGACAAUAAAUUGUCCACUGAUGGGCAGUAAAUGCAGUUCGCUAUAGUAAUGUUUAAAGAGUCAAGUUUAACAGUACCCCUGCCAAGCGACUGCAAGACUUGUGAAUUGGCUAAAUGUACAUUACCAAUUUCCUCUUCGAAAGAAAUAAACAAGCUUCGAUCGUUGCAAACGUGCUGAGAUGCUCCUGAGUCCACAAUAAAAGAAUUCCACUUGGCACCUUUAAUUCUUUUACGAUCUCUUGUGCUAGCGUGAAAAGCUCGCGGCUCGUUUCUGUCUUUACGGUACGAUGCCGGCUGCUGAGCUGACGACCGUGACUGACGAACAGAAACAGACUUGGGAGUACUUUGCUUUCUUUUGGAUCUGCAGUCCUUUGCAAAAUGUCCUUGCUUAUUGCAGAACCAACAACGCUUUGCAGCUUUAAAUGCAGUUGUAUCACCACAAGUUUGCAUAUGGCGUUCCUCAUUCUUUCUGGAAAUAGGAGUGCUUAUGGCACAAGCCUCCCUUCUGUCCAACUCGCCCAUUAAUCUUGCCGUUACCCCUUCCACAGUUAAUUGUGCUGGUGGAGCGGCAGAUAUCUGGCUAGCUAUACCAUCAAAGUCCUCAUUAAGGGAACAAAGGAUGAUGAAAACAUACUGAAUAUCAGGUAUCUCCAUGUCCCUUCGAAUUAAUUCACCGCGUAUUGCCUCCAGACGUCUCAAGUGUGCUGCCAAAUCACCACCAGGCUGCAACUUCGUCUGGUACAACUGCUUGAAAACGUCAAUGCAGACGCUGACUCUUUUCUAACAUGCACUGCUGCAAGACUGUCCCACAUUUCUUUGGCAGUUUUCUUAUUUCUUAUAUAGACUACUUGCUGGUCGCUGACUGCCAAAUUAAUUAUCGCCCUGGCUUUCGCAUCUCCUUUCGACCAAGCAUUAGUCACAGGGUCAGGAGGGUCAUCAGUUACAUAGGUCCAUACUUCUCUAGAGGUCAAAAGCGCCUCCACCCGAAAAGACCAUAAACUAUAGUUCUCAUCUGUCAGCUGUGGGAAGACCAGAGCCUUCUCAGCUUCAGGAACCCGGUCAACCAUUCUGGAACUCUUCCAGACCCACAGAACUACGCUAACAGGAGAAGGAGUUUUCAAACCUUUCUCAGAGUCCAAAAAUAUGCAGUCAUCCACUCAGCAGCUGGGCCCAUAACCAAAGAUGUUGACUUUUUGCAGUAUGGUAGCGCUGCAGAGAGCUUGCUGGGGAGACCAUGCAUUAAAAGGGACUCAAAAAUAACUUAAACAAGGUUUUAAUAAGAAAAACAAAAACUCCUUUUACACUAAAUACAUUAACAAACAAACAUGACCCAACCACCAACCCAUCCCCCAGGGUAAUGGGAGAGCUAGGUGCUGCUCCUUAUAUACUACACCCAAUUGCCAACACAGCUUAAUCAAUACAACUCAGCAGCACCUGCUAUGUUUCACAGCUGUAACGCUGGGUCUCGUUAUCUUGCUCUGGCCCUUGCUUUGGCCCCUUAAAGACAUACACAUCGGGUGGAACAAUGAUGAACCUUUACAUAUUAAACCAUUCAACACAAGGUUGCCACAAGAAGAGCAGAGCCUGGUGUUGGGGGGGGGGGGACAUCAGCAGCACCAAACCACAGGCUCUGUGAAGUCCAGCACCAGCCCUGGGUGUCUGAAUGUGUUUUCUAAUUUUGACAAAAAAUGACUGGAACAAUCAGCAAUCAGGAAGGCCAAAAUUUCAAUAAGGAAUGGGAAAAUUUAUAAUUUAUAAUUUAUCUUAAAAACCAUUGCAAACAGUUAAAACUGUUAGCAGGACUGGAAUAACACUUGUAGUUUAAUGGUGGACGUAAUGGAGAUGUAAAAGAUUUGGAUUAUUAUAAAAGAUGCAAGAGGAAAUGGUUAACAAUAGGACCCACAAAGGGAAGGAGGGAAGUCCAGAAGAUUCCUUGGAAUCUUGUUUUUUAUGUUUUAUAUUGGAUAUGUGAUUGUAAAACUUUGAUUUGAAAACCAAGCAAACAAAUUUAAAAUGAAAGUGUUUUCUAAUUUGUGCAAGGAUUGUAGCCACAAUACGUUCCUGCUUAAUGGUGAAACUAGAUGUGACGGAGGGGAUAUCCAUAUUGUGGAUAUAUUUCUCCAGGCACUGCAGCCUUCAUCCGAAGCCUCCCCUUUCACAGCUGCUUUUAACAAAAGAAAACAGCAGCUCAACAAGCCACAAAAAUGUGAGACUGUAAAUUUUGAGAGACAGCACAUCACAGUCUCCUGUCCUUAUCUCUCCAAUACUUCCUCUCCUUGAGUCCAAAAGGUCAGGUCUGGCCCUCAUACCUCUGUUUGAUAUGACUGAUGUGUCUGAGCGCAACUUUCUUCUUUUGUUUCUUGUUGUGCAGAAACGUCAUAGAAUCAUAGAGUUGGAAGAGACCACAAGGGCCAUCGAGUCCAACCCCCUGCCAAGCAGGAAACACCAUCAGAGCACUCCUGACAUAUGGUUGUCAAGCCUCUGCUUAAAGACCUCCAAAGAAGGAGACUCCACCACACUCCUUGGCAGCAAAUUCCACUGUCGAACAGCUCUUACUGUCAGGAAGUUCUUCCUAAUGUUUAGGUGGAAUCUUCUUUCUUGUAGUUUGGAUCCAUUGCUCCGUGUCUGCUUCUCUGGAGCAGCAGAAAACAACCUUUCUCCCUCCUCUAUGUGACAUCCUUUUAUAUAUUUGAACAUGGCUAUCAUAUCACCCCUUAACCUCCUCUUCUCCAGGCUAAACGUCGUCAUUCUCUUCCCAUGAUUUACCCUGAUCUCAGCCUCCCUGUUUAAAAAAAGGAUAGGACACUGAAGAAUGUGAAAUGUAAGCAGGGUUUAUACUGGAAGAUAGCCAGGUGAGCUGUGCAUCUUCUCCUUCCCAGAGAAAGAUGGUUGGGCCACCUCAAGCUGUUCUCAUUCCUGUCUUCCUUCCAACAAAAGCAAGAGCAGCAAUGGCACAGCCAGAGAUUCUGCACACUUUUGGGAUUUAGUUAAUCCCAAAAGCCAAUAUUGAUGCUAAAUCCUUUGCUUUUAAGAAUACUCUUUUACCUUUAACAUUUGGUUGACAGUGAGAUUUGAUGGCUGCAGUCUGCCCCCACCACCGUCACGUGGUAAAGCAGGACUGGAAGAUGUUGCAACCUGAAUAUUUCUCCAGGAGACUGUAAAAGGAACAGGUGCUCUCCUUUAAGUCAAUCUUCACAUUAAUGGGGUGUGGGUUUUUUUGGUCAGGGUUUCAUUACUCUGACCCCUUUAAAUUUCUCAUUAUUUUUCAAUAAUAUUUUAUUGCUCAGACGGAUUACGAGUUUCAUGUAUUACGGUCUGCCAAUUACCUGUUCACCUGGGAGGAAUAGCAACUGCCUCUGAGUGAGCCCUAAGGAGGAAAACAGCACCUGUUCAAGUGAGGGACUUGGUGAGUGCAGAACUCGCAUCACAAAGCAACAUCUGAAAUCGGGGCAAAAGUGGUUCUAUGUUGCAGGGAUCUCUGUCAAUUCUCCGUGGAACCUUCAAUGUGGGGUUCCGCAGGGCUCAGUCCUAUCCCCCAUGUUGUUUGACGUCUACAUGAAACUGCUGGUGGGGUUAUUGGGAGGUUUGGAGUACGUUGUCAGCACCAUGCUGGUGACACUCAGCUCGAUUUCUCCUUUACAUCUGCAGGUGAGGCAGUGGAAGUGCUGGACCAGUGCUCGGACUGGAUGAGAGCCACCAAACUGAAGCUCAAUCCUGAUAAGACAGAGACACUGUGUGUGUGUGUGUGUGUGUGUGUGUGUGUGUACAUACAGUGGUACCUCGGGUUAAGUACUUAAUUCGUUCCGGAGGUCCGUACUUAACCUGAAACUGUUCUUAACCUGAAGCACCACUUUAGUUAAUGGGGCCUUCCUGCUGCUGCCGCGCUGCUGGAGCACGAUUUCUGUUCUCAGCACUAUUUCUGGGUUAGCGGAGUCUGUAACCUGAAGCGUAUGUAACCUGAAGCGUAUGUAACCCGAGGUACCACUGUAUAUAUAUUUGGGGUUUUUUUAACAUAUCAUUUCCAACAAUCAUUUAACAUUAAUUCUUAUCUUAUACAAUGUUUUGGACUUCCGUCAACAACCUCUGAUGAUUUUCCAUUCUUUAUCACUUAUUCUGCAUUUCUUAAUUUCUCUAUUACUCUUAAUUAUCAUUAACUAAUAAUUCUCUUCAUAGUCUUAGCACAGUCACAUCCCAAGCUAGCUGCACAUCCAAUUUGAAUUUAAAGCUAUGUAGUGCCAAGGGGAAUCAACCAUUGCAUAUGCCACAUAAAUACCUGCAAUACUAGCAUUAUUAUGCGUGCGUUUAAAAAUAAACCAUCGAAAGCAUCGGCC